GGAGACAGCUCAGUGGUAGAGCACCUGCCUAGCAUGUGUGAGGCACUGGGUUCAAUCCUCAGCACCA
rnacentral:tRNA from 1 species